GCUUGCUUUGGCAGCACAUUGAAAUUGGAAUGAUACAGAGAAGAUUAGCACGGCCCCAGCAUAAGGAUGACACACAAAUUCAGGUCCUUAUUUUUAUGUUU
ensembl:snRNA U6 U6 spliceosomal RNA